UACGGAGGGUGCAAGCGUUAUCCGGAUUCACUGGGUUUAAAGGGCGCGCAGGCGGGCUGGUAAGUCAGUGGUGAAAGCCUUGAGCUUAACUCGAGAACUGCCAUUGAUACUAUCAGUCUUGAAUAUUGUUGAGGUUUGCGGAAUGGGUCAUGUAGCGGUGAAAUGCAUAGAUAUGACCCGGAACACCUAUUGCGAAGGCAGCAGGCUAAACAAAGAUUGACGCUGAGGCUCGAAAGCGUGGGGAGCGAACAGG
rnacentral:rRNA from 1 species